rnacentral:rRNA from 1 species
CAGCCGCCGCGGUAACACGAAGGGUGCAAGCGUUACUCGGAAUUACUGGGCGUAAAGCGUGCGUAGGUGGUGGUUUAAGUCCGUUGUGAAAGCCCUGGGCUCAACCUGGGAAUUGCAGUGGAUACUGGGUCACUAGAGUGUGGUAGAGGAUAGUGGAAUUUCCGGUGUAGCAGUGAAAUGCGUAGAGAUCGGAAGGAACAUCUGUGGCGAAGGCGACUAUCUGGGCCAACACUGACACUGAGGCACGAAAGCGUGGGGAGCAAACAGGAUUAGAUACCUCCGUAGUCCCUGUCUCUUAUAC